rnacentral:tRNA from 1 species
GUCUUCGUGGCUCAGUCGGUAGAGCGUUGGUCUCAUAUUACGUCAAUAUGACUCAGGCACCAGCCUGGGACAUCCAAAGGUCGAGAGUUCGAGCCUCUCCGAGGACA